AGUGAACGCUGGCGGUAGGCCUAACACAUGCAAGUCGAACGGCAGCACAGUAAGAGCUUGCUCUUACGGGUGGCGAGUGGCGGACGGGUGAGGAAUACAUCGGAAUCUACUUUUUCGUGGGGGGUAACGUAGGGAAACUUACGCUAAUACCGCAUACGACCUACGGGUGAAAGCAGGGGAUCUUCGGACCUUGCGCGAUUGAAUGAGCCGAUGUCGGAUUAGCUAGUUGGCGGGGUAAAGGCCCACCAAGGCGACGAUCCGUAGCUGGUCUGAGAGGAUGAUCAGCCACACUGGAACUGAGACACGGUCCAGACUCCUACGGGAGGCAGCAGUGGGGAAUAUUGGACGAUGGGCGCAAGCCUGAUCCAGCCAUACCGCGUGGGUGAAGAAGGCCUUCGGGUUGUAAAGCCCUUUUGUUGGGAAAGAAAAGCAGCAGGUUAAUACCCCGCUGUUCUGACGGUACCCAAAGAAUAAGCACCGGCUAACUUCGUG
rnacentral:rRNA from 1 species